GCGUGUCACACCAUCGCACUUUGGCGUGUUAGACCAUCGCACUUUGGCGCAUGAGUGUGGAUCAUCGCACUUUGGCGUGUCACACCAUCGGGGUUUGGCACAGACCAUCGGGGUUUGGCGUGACCAUCGCAUUUUGGAGUCCCAUCGCACUUUUUGGAGUCUUACAUAUUUCGUGCUAUCUCGCUGCCAUCUACAACACAUUUUCAAAAGUGUGGCAAUUUGUCCCAGACAAAUUUGUUCCAGCAAUUAAUCUUUUGAAAAAAAAAGUCAACAUUUAUAUAAAGUCUGGUUUAUGCAAACGAGGUUAUCUCUUACAAAUGCUAUCAAUUGAGAGGUCUUCACUUUUGCAGUAUAGGGAGGAAACCAAAGGCUGUAGAGUGCCUCUUGUCACCACUUACCAUCUUACCUUGAAGGCCUUAAACAAAAUUCCAUAUGAUAACCUUCCUAAUCUUUGAAUAAUCCUAGAUUGGUAAGAUAAUCCAUCAAACCACUAAUGCUGGCCUUUAGAUAACCCAGGAAUAUCAGAGAUUUGGUGAUAAGGACUAGAUCAAUGUUCGUUAUCUUCACCUUUCAUUGGACAAUCCUCUACCCAAUGGAAGCUUUUCAACAUGCUCUGGCAGACUUGGCUGCAAAUAAAGUGUCGGAGUUCGCUUAGUUUAUAUUGACCAAUUAAUUCGUAGACUCGUUUGCCACCUGUCCGGGAUACAUGGAAAUGGUGAUACGGAUCAACAUCCAGAUGGAUAUGCAUCGGGAGUGGUAUUUUGGAGUCAUCGUGGUUUCUGGGCUUCCCUCUCUUAUCUUGGGCCAGAUGGUGUACACCUGGAUUGCACCCCUUCCCACAACCAACCUAUGAGGAAUUAUCUUCGGAGUAUAAGCAAUGCUGUAAUUCAGGCUCCAAAAUUCCUCAGGCCAGUAUAUUUUUUGAUUUUGCACGGAAUUGUAUAUAUUUUCCGUUAUGUGUAUAUAUAAUAUUUUAAUAUACACUGACCUAAGCUUAAUUUCAAGCAAAGCAUUCACAGGUGCAUAUCAGAUCAACAUCCGUUGAAUUGUAUUUGACAUGUAUACUACACCUUGGUAAAAUGGUAUCUAUGUUCUAUUGAUUGACUCUUGUAAUUAUCAUGUUGAACAUCCACAUGCAGGUACUAUUUGCUUUCUGUUCAACAAACAAGUCAUAUGCAUAAUGGCAUUUAAAUGCGUCUUGUGCAAUAGAUUGAUACAUAGUCUGUCUCUAUUUUAUUGCGGUCCAAUAGAAUCCUAACAGCAUAUUCUAUUCAAUGCAUAUGGGAUCUUUCUUGUACAUAUAUGGGUCAGUUAUUAGGUACCUAUACAUAGUAAUCGUGCGAAUUAGAGUUUUACUCACUAUUUGCAAGCGGGUCAAAGUUGCUCAUAAUUUUAUGUGGGUUUGAGUUAACCCAUAAAUUUCUGUGGGCUGGAGUUACCCAUAUUUUCUUUUGAGUCGGAGUUACCCAUGUUUUUUAGUUGGGUCGGAGUUAUCUUUAUUAGCUCAUUGGGUCAGAGUUACCCGUAUUUAUAUUUUUGGGUCAGAGUUACCCAUAUUUACAUUUUGGGUCGCAGUUACCCAUGUGUAUAUUUUGAGUCGGAGUUACCCAUAUUUAUAUUUUGGGUCGGUGUUACCCAUAUUUACAUUUUGGGUCGGAGUUACCUAGAUUUACAUUUUGUUUGGAGUUACCAAGCUUUACAUUUUAGGUCGGAGUUACCCAGAUUUACAUAUAAUGGGUCAGAAUCAUAUAUUUUAUGUAGAGUAUCCCAGGGAUUGAUUUCACCUUUAGAUUUCAUUUAAUAGUGGUAAACCAUCUCUCUUGAUGUUUGUCACCCUGUUUGGAGUGUAUAUUUCAUGAUUGAGAAUUUAUACAAUUUUAAAACCUUUGUUAUAAGAAAUGUUUACAGGUUAGGCACAAUUUAUUGUCAUUACCUAUUUUAAUUUGUGUCGUUUUACCUUAUUUCUUAAUGAAACUAAUAAUUCAGUUCAAAAUCACAAUGCCCAUGUGGUCUACCGAUAUUGCAUUAAGCAAAUAUUAUUAUCAUUAUCCUUUUAUAUCAGUUCAAGUUUCUUAUGCAUAGUAAAUCCUUAUUCUACGUUGACAUUUGUGUGUAUGGCAAUUAUUACAUACUCACACUUCAUCAGUUUAUCAUGCAUCUUGUGCAUUACAUAUGUAGGUGUAUACUAUGUAUUUCUAUACUGAUUUGACGUUUCUAGUGGCAAAUUGGUUGCUAAAUAAUGCCAUCUUUCAUAAAUAUUUGACAAUUUGCUGUAGAAUGUUUAUUGUUACAGGAACAAUGCCACCCAAGUCCAGACAGCGCCUGUCAACGAAGCGCAGGAGAGUUAACUCUCCAGGUAGCUCAGAAGCUCCCAAUUUAUCAUGUUCAAGCAAGUUCAAGUGCAGUGGAUACUUUAGCCACACAAUUAACUUAUGCAGAAUUAGCUAAGAAUAUAGUUGUCCAACAGCGACAACAAGGAACAUAAAUUCAGCAGGAGGCAUCAGAAACUAUAAGUGACAUUACACCCGCGAGCCCCUCUAUGGUAAUUCGCAGUCAGGGAAAUCAGGAUGUGUUGGCCUCCAACUUAAGUUCCUUGUUAGACAAUGUUUUUACAGGUGAAGAACCACUGGCCAAAGCUGGUAAAAUAGAGGUCAACCAGGCAUCCAACAAUAAAACACCACUAGGCAUUAAUCAGUGGACAGAUGCUAUUUUAAUCUUUGAAUCAAUUUACUUGCAAACGUUCCCUACUUAUGCCUGCAAUAUUCUUGAAUAUGCUUUCGUGAAAAUAAGCAGGCUCCAUGUUAAUCAAGCAUGGAGAAACUAUGAUGAAUCCUUUCGUCGUUCCAGGGAAUCUUCAGUUAGUCCCUGGGAAAGGCCAAUUGCUAUAAUGCGCCUGAAGGCAGCAUCAAUGGGAGUACGUCAACCCCAAACUUAUAAAGCUAAUAAGGGGCAGUCUUUUCGUUCCACCAAAGUUUCGCCUACAAUAAAGGUCAGCGAUGUAACACCUAUCCCUGCAAGUACGCUCAUUUAUGUCAAGAGUGCAAUGGCCAACAUCCCAAAUGUAAGUGCACAGGGGCAAAAUCAAACUGGUCAACCUCCCACCCCAGUCAAACAUUGCAAAUGCCAGUCCUUCCAAACCCAAUAAACCCGGUAAAUUUGCAAAGUCAGCUCCAGGCUAUGACCCUCUUAAACUUAACUAUCUGAUUGAAGGCGUUAGGUGUGGUUUUCGACUUGGUUGUUCAAAGUCACCAUCAAUUCAUCCUCCUUCACUGUUCGUUAUCUUCACCUCUCAUUAUGGUCAACAAACAUUUUAAACGUGAUAGAGUUUAAUAAUAAUAAUAAAUUAUUUCUGCAGUCUUUAAAUGUUAGCAUCUUCUUUCAAUUUUAUUAAUUGAAUUAUAAAACACACACUUAACCAAAUGUACACAUACUUUAUUAUGAUAUCAGUGGUGUAUAUAUCAAAGUCAUGUAAUUACAUUUAUACUAUUAAAUAAACAUUAUAGA